GUGCUCGCUUUGACAGCACAUAUACUAAAAUUGGAACGAUACAGAGAAGAUCAGCAUGGCCCCUGCGCAAGGAUGGCACGCAAAUUUGUGAAGCGUUCCAUAUUUUU
ensembl:snRNA U6 U6 spliceosomal RNA